UUGACCUCAAAUCGGGUGAGACUACCCGCUGAACUUAAGCAUAUCAAUAAGCGGAGGAA
rnacentral:rRNA from 5 species